rnacentral:lncRNA from 1 species
AAAUGGUUGUCGCAAAUGACGCCUCAAAAUUCAGUCAGGAAGGUGGCGCGUGGAUUACACUCUCCAACGUCGCGAGUGGGCUUUACUUAAAAAACCAAAAACUAGUUCUACUCCAAACUGGUUCGGUUUAGCGGUUUGGUUUGGCCUGCUAAAGUGUUCACUACAGUAACCACUCUCCUUAGCACACUCUCCGAUUUUCGCCAAAUUUUCAACGCCAAUAUGCAUCUCGACUAUUUUUGAUGUGCUGAUUCAGAAUCUGAUUUCGGAUUUUAAAUCGGAUGAACAAUGUUGAUACACACACCUUCCGAGAGUGGGUUUGCGCAUGGAACCACUGUUCAUUUUCUUCAACCUCAACAAUUUUUUAGAUUUUGAACCAGAAAUUUAAAAGCUCUCUCAAUACACAUCAGAAUUUUUCAUAUAAUAAACCGUUGGACAGAUCUUUUCAUACUCUUUCCAAUUAUACCAAUUUCAUAUUUAUAUGUUAUGUAUCAUAAAAGAUAUCAGUAAAAUAAACCUACGGGUUCAUAUCUUAGGUUUUCAUUUUACUCAUUACAUGGAUCAUAUUAAUCCUCAUGGCAACUAGGAAUUAAUCUAUACACCUUUAUAUGUUUAUUAAUCCAGUUGCAUGGCAUCAAAAAUAAGUAAAUUAUAACAUGCCAUUAAUAUGUGUUCUUUAUGGAAACAUUAACUUUCUUAAAGAACAUGCUUGGGUCUCAUGCUUUAUAUGCUUAAAUCAGAACGCAACCUAUUCAACUCAGAUACCAAUGUUGAUUUUCGAGCAAGAAUUAUCAUAAAAACUUGUAAAUUUGACUUUAAACGCAUACCCAGAUUAUAUGCAAAAAAUCGAUAAACCAAGGUUGCGCUACUGAUUUAUGGUCGAAAGAUGAUCACAAAGGCGGAAAAUCCUCUCAAUUCAUGUUGCAAGAACCCUCUAAACUUCUAUUGACUUGAAAUUUCUCUAAAUUGCACUUUGCUUAUUCUUUGCUUAACU